UUCACUUUCUCACCCCUCCCCUUUCUUGUUUCCCUUUUUGUGGCAUUCUGGAGCCAUAUAACAAAAAAACUGAUCUCAAGAGAAAGCACAAUUAAAAAAGUGCUUGCAGGGAGAAAGCUAACACAUACGAAGAUGCUUCUUGAUUCGAUGGGAAGAUCAAGAAUGAAGAGAUGUCAUCAAAGAAGGGAGAAGUAAGUGCAGGUUAUCGUGGUGGGAAAGCGAGACUAAAUCAGUGCUUUUGAUGUGCAUAGGAGGUAUUGGCGUGUCUCAAUCUGAAAACAUGGUUGGAAGCUGAAAUAGCUAUGUAAUUGGAUUGAGCCGCGCCAAUAUCUCUUCUCCACGGCAGGCACUUUAUCUCAAGAUUAGAAGGGAUGGGCUACUAAGCUGAGCUGUAGGAGUAUCAAAUUGAUAUCGAGCUGCAAAUCUUCUUCUGGUUUCAGGCAUUAGUAAAGCUGUAGAAAAUAUAUAACCACAUGAAGGGCCUCCUCUAACAAGAACAUAUACCAAUGUAUUGGUUUGGGCUGGAUCUAGCCAUGUGAUCAUGAACGAAGCCAACAAACAUAUCAGCUCAUGCUUUCAUCUUCUUCUUUUUUCAGUUCCAGUAAUAUUCAGUAUUAGAAUUAUUACAAUCUCACAUAAAUUGAGGAAUUACUUGAGGAAUCUUAGGGUGUGAGUUUUUUUAUUAGAAUGAUACUCUACUGAAAUGAUUCCCACCAACCAAGAUUAUGGCAUGAGAAUAUGAAACGUUUAUAUAUACCUCUGCAACAACAAUAUUAACAAGCAUGUAUUACUUUUAAAUUUGUUUAAUGACAAGGGAAUGGAAGGAUAACAAUUUUUGGACUGAAUGUAGCAAAGAGUAAGCAUGGGAUCUUUGU